rnacentral:rRNA from 1 species
CAGUCGAGCGAGCGGAACCACAGAUUUACUUCGGUAAUGACGUUGGGAAAGCGAGCGGCGGAUGGGUGAGUAACACGUGGGGAACCUGCCCCUAAGUCUGGGAUACCAUUUGGAAACAGGUGCUAAUACCGGAUAAUAAAGCGGAUCGCAUGAUCAGCUUUUGAAAAGCGGCGUAAGCUGUCGCUAAGGGAUGGCCCCGCGGUGCAUUAGCUAGUUGGUAAGGUAACGGCUUACCAAGGCGACGAUGCAUAGCCGAGUUGAGAGACUGAUCGGCCACAUUGGGACUGAGACACGGCCCAAACUCCUACGGGAGGCAGCAGUAGGGAAUCUUCCACAAUGGACGCAAGUCUGAUGGAGCAACGCCGCGUGAGUGAAGAAGGUUUUCGGAUCGUAAAGCUCUGUUGUUGGUGAAGAAGGAUAGAGGUAGUAACUGGCCUUUAUUUGACGGUAAUCAACCAGAAAGUCACGGCUAACUACGUGCCAGCAGCCGCGGUAAUACGUAGGUGGCAAGCGUUGUCCGGAUUUAUUGGGCGUAAAGCGAGCGCAGGCGGAAAAAUAAGUCUAAUGUGAAAGCCCUCGGCUUAACCGAGGAACUGCAUCGGAAACUGUUUUUCUUGAGUGCAGGAGAGGAGAGUGGAACUCCAUGUGUAGCGGUGGAAUGCGUAGAUAUAUGGAAGAACACCAGUGGCGAAGGCGGCUCUCUGGUCUGCAACUGACGCUGAGGCUCGAAAGCAUGGGUAGCGAACAGGAUUAGAUACCCUGGUAGUCCAUGCCGUAAACGAUGAGUGCUAAGUGUUGGGAGGUUUCCGCCUCUC